CAGUUUCAUCCAGUUUCAUACAGUUUAUCUUAUCACUUCGGUUUCACUAUAACCUUAUGGAGCCAUACAGAUAUUUUAACUUGCUCUUGCAUGAAUCAUACAGUACAAUAAACAGUAAGAAAGAUCAUGAAGGUAAAAUGAAAGCCGCAUGUUAUGUGUGAUUAUAUGUGCUUACAUAAUGCUUUUUGCUUAUAUGUGUGUUUAUUGUUGUUUUAUGUUGAGAUAUCCACUGAGCUUUAUUUGCUCAGCGAGUUACCUGUUUAACUCGCAGGUUUUGAGACUGGUCUUUUAAGCGUCAGCGUACAACUGCAGCAGUUCAUCUGUAGAAGACUCGGUCUUCAGGGUAGCUCCCUAUUUUGAUGUGUAACUUUUAUUUAUUCUAUUCAUGGCUUGUACAGGGCACACAGUUGGGCCCAUUUCACUUUAAAAACUUGUAUCAUGUAUAUCAAUUUUCAGUAUUCUAUUAAUGUAAACAGCUUUUGUAUACUAUAAUAGUCAAUAGUCAGUAUGAUAUCAGCAU